GAUGAACGCUGGCGGCGUGCCUAAUACAUGCAAGUCGAGCGAACAGACGAGGAGCUUGCUCCUCUGACGUUAGCGGCGGACGGGUGAGUAACACGUGGAUAACCUACCUAUAAGACUGGGAUAACUUCGGGAAACCGGAGCUAAUACCGGAUAAUAUAUUGAACCGCAUGGUUCAAUAGUGAAAGACGGUUUUGCUGUCACUUAUAGAUGGAUCCGCGCCGCAUUAGCUAGUUGGUAAGGUAACGGCUUACCAAGGCAACGAUGCGUAGCCGACCUGAGAGGGUGAUCGGCCACACUGGAACUGAGACACGGUCCAGACUCCUACGGGAGGCAGCAGUAGGGACUCUUCCGCAAUGGGCGAAAGCUUGACGGAGCAACGCCGCGUGAGUGAUGAAGGUCUUCGGAUCGUAAAACUCUGUUAUUAGGGAAGAACAAAUGUGUAAGUAACUAUGCACGUCUUGACGGUACCUAAUCAGAAAGCCACGGCUAACUACGU
rnacentral:rRNA from 1 species